rnacentral:rRNA from 1 species
GCAGUCGAACGGUAACAGAAAGCAGCUUGCUGCUUUGCUGACGAGUGGCGGACGGGUGAGUAAUGUCUGGGAAACUGCCUGAUGGAGGGGGAUAACUACUGGAAACGGUAGCUAAUACCGCAUAACGUCGCAAGACCAAAGAGGGGGACCUUCGGGCCUCUUGCCAUCGGAUGUGCCCAGAUGGGAUUAGCUUGUUGGUGGGGUAACGGCUCACCAAGGCGACGAUCCCUAGCUGGUCUGAGAGGAUGACCAGCCACACUGGAACUGAGACACGGUCCAGACUCCUACGGGAGGCAGCAGUGGGGAAUAUUGCACAAUGGGCGCAAGCCUGAUGCAGCCAUGCCGCGUGUAUGAAGAAGGCCUUCGGGUUGUAAAGUACUUUCAGCGGGGAGGAAGGGAGUAAAGUUAAUACCUUUGCUCAUUGACGUUACCCGCAGAAGAAGCACCGGCUAACUCCGUGCCAGCAGCCGCGGUAAUACGGAGGGUGCAAGCGUUAAUCGGAAUUACUGGGCGUAAAGCGCACGCAGGCGGUUUGUUAAGUCAGAUGUGAAAUCCCCGGGCUCAACCUGGGAACUGCAUCUGAUACUGGCAAGCUUGAGUCUCGUAGAGGGGGGUAGAAUUCCAGGUGUAGCGGUGAAAUGCGUAGAGAUCUGGAGGAAUACCGGUGGCGAAGGCGGCCCCCUGGACGAAGACUGACGCUCAGGUGCGAAAGCGUGGGGAGCAAACAGGAUUAGAUACCCUGGUAGUCCACGCCGUAAACGAUGUCGACUUGGAGGUUGUGCCCUUGAGGCGUGGCUUCCGGAGCUAACGCGUUAAGUCGACCGCCUGGGGAGUACGGCCGCAAGGUUAAAACUCAAAUGAAUUGACGGGGGCCCGCACAAGCGGUGGAGCAUGUGGUUUAAUUCGAUGCAACGCGAAGAACCUUACCUGGUCUUGACUUCCACGGAAGUUUCAGAGAUGAAAUGUGCCUUCGGGAACCGUGAAACGGUGCUGCUGGCUGUCCUCACUCCGGUUGGGAAUGUUGGGUAAGUCCCGAACGAGCGAACCU